rnacentral:lncRNA from 1 species
UAGAGAAGGGCAAGAGUUAUUUAACUUCUUGAUCUAGAUUGCAAUUUUAUGCAAGCUAAUUAAAGAUUGUGAUGUGUCCACAAUAUGCAGUGGAAGAUAUAAAACAAUCUACUAUGAUCUAUUUGUACUUCAAAACUAUAUUGCAUGUUAAAGAUCAAAUUUAAAGCAUACAUGAUAGCGGAUUCUCAAAUUAAAAUUUUUCGAAAAUAUGAAAACUUUAUGCGUAUG